CAGGCCCUCUCAAUUUUUUGCCUAAAAUGUCUCUUUCAAAUCCUAGCUUCUGAAUUCCUUUCCCACACUUUCAUCUCUCCUUUCUGUAAUUUACUACUUUUUCCAUUUGAUCAUCAGAACGUGUUAACAUAAUAACAAUCCUUGAUACUUGAGGGAUCUUCUCUUACCAAGUGCUUUCACAUAAAUGAUCUCAUUAAAUCUUCCUAUCGCUGUGCUUGGUAAGUAGUGUUCGGUGUCGAAUUAAUGACCAUGCCCCUUUCCCACAAAGAACAUGGUUUUACUCCCAGGGUUUCCUUAUAUAAAACUCUAAGGCCCUGGACAUCAACAUGGACACACACACACACACUCUCACUCACAAAUAAGGUACAUAGCUUCUCACCUGCACACACACACAUUGUGUGGAACUCCUCUGGGUUCAAUAAGUUAGGAGAGGUAUCUUAGCUUAUGCUACAAAGACAGUCAUGAUCUUUAUGCAAAUUCUAGAGCCCCAAGAGGUCCCUAGUUUCUUGAUGAUCUGCCAAAGGCGCUCACCUGCCAUGCACAGGACAUGCACGGAUCAUGCACCCCUAGCCAUAGCUCAGGUCUGGCUUUGGGUGAGCCUGGCCAAGGCUGGAAGCAACAGGAGAGGGCCUGGCAGAGCAGAGGGGACCUUUUUUUCCCUGCUCGCUGCCCUGCAUGCUGCUCAGCAUUUUCCAAACCUCCCCACUGCUCCUGGUGGGGCUUCACAAUCGAACAUUGUCAGCCCAGAGCUGACACCCAAGCCGACCACAGCCCUAAAGCAUGCUGAGUGCCUCUUGGACCUGAAUUCCCAUAGUCUGUACCGAAAGCCACGCCCCAAGGCUGCAGUUUACCUCAAUCUCAGUUUGCCUUUGAAAUCUGUUCACAGGCUAUCUCUGAAAAAGUCCUUUGGGUUUGGAAAACGGGACUUUGAAAACAAUUCCGUUUUUAUUGUAGAUUCAGGGGGCACGUGUGCAGGUUUGUUACCAGGGUAUAUCGGGUGGUGCUGAGGUUUGGGCUUCUAUGGAUCCCAUCACAGAAAAUGGGACUUUUCAUUAAUAAAGGCUCCCGAGGGCUUAAUCCAGAGCUGGGUUCCCCAUGCGUGCUCAGUAAAGAUCUGCUGAUGGAUGGGUUACAACACCCCGCCACCUUCAGUUUUCUGUUUUGAAGUAGCUUUGUUAGAGAUGUUCAGAUUUCUGUUCUCUGCAUUUAUUUUUAUUUGAGUCCAGGAAUCAAAUGAUGAUGCUAUCUGGUCCCAGCAGCCUAGAAAGGCAGCUCUCCCAAGCAUUUCUCAGAGGCUACACUUUACAUGAGUCCUAGGCAAACAGAGAGGAGGCCCACCCCACAUUACAUACACUUCCCGAGGGCCCAGGCCCUGCAUAGGCUCUUGGCUAAGAUGCUGCUUUCAGAGUUGGAGAGGGGAGCUGUUUGCUGAGUUUUCUGACACUCUUAACUGUUCAACUGGGCAGAGUUGUGGUUUGUUCAGAGAAGAAGCUUGUAUUUAGGGAAAAAGUCAUGGACAAUGAAUUUCUAACUAAUAGAACAUAUUUCAGAAAGGCUGUACGAUGAAGCAGAAAGAGCUGAAAAUUUGGGUUUGGAAGACCUGGGUCCAAGUCCUGUUGUCGCAACAUACCAGUGGUGUGGUCCUGGGCAGGUUACUGUGAGCCUGUUUCCUCACCUGUACAAUGGGUAUAGUAAUAAUAAUGAUCAUAACUUACAGGGUUGUUGGGAACCCUUGAAUGAAAGAAUGAAUCUGACCAGAUGUGGUGGCUCACGCCUGUAAUCUCAGCACUUUGGGAGGCUGAGGCGGAGAGAUCACCUGAGGUCAGGAGAUCGAGACCAGCCUGGCCAACAUGGUGAAACCCCAUCUCUACUGAAAAUACAAAAAUUAGCUGGGCGUCAUGGCAGUCGCCUGUAAUCCCAGCUACUCGGGAGGCUGAGGCAGGAGAAUCGCUGGAACCCGGGAGGCAGAGGUUGCAGUGAGCCGAGAUUGCGCCAUUGCACUCCAGCCUGGGGGACAGAGGAAGACUCCAUCCCCCCCCACAAAAAAAAAAUUAAUCUGAAGCAUCUGAGGCUGGGCGCAGUGGCUGUAAUUGCAUCCAAGAGUUCAAAACCAGCCUUGGCAACAUAGUGAGACCCUGUCUCUACAAAAAUAAAAAAUAAAAAAAUUAACCAGGCAUGGUGGCACAUGCCUAUAGUCCCAGCUACUCGGGAGGCUGAGGUGGGAGGACUGCUUGAGUCCGGGAGGUUGAGGCUGCAGUGAAUUAUGAUUGUGCCACUGCACUCCAGCCUGGGUGAUGGAGCGAGACCCUGUAUCG